rnacentral:lncRNA from 1 species
CCCAUAGUCAGUAGAGCUUCUGAAUGCUGAGUGAUCUGUACACAAACACGCCUUUGCCUAUGUUACCUGGGAGGGGCCAAGUGAAGAAAUGCCGUGUUUUUCUAUAAACUUAGCUGGGGUGAUGGGUGGGAAACAGCGGUCAGCAGGAUCCCGAGGAUAAUGGGGCGGUGACAGCAACCACGCUGGAUCCUCUGCCCUCCAGCAUCCCCCACGAGGAGAAGCCAACUGGGAAGGUUCCUAUGGUUACCAGGGCAUGGCUGCUUUAGGACUUUGGUCCUGAUGUAAACUGAGUGCAUAUGAUUUUACAGCUGCCGGGGUAGACAGACUGACACCCACGGGGAAGAAUGACGGCUCCUUUAAAGACUGGAACUUCCCUCAAGCUUCUUUGGGAACCAGCUGGGCAUCAAGUGCCAGAGUGUAUCAGAUACACAAAUAAGCACUGCAUUGCUCUGAAUUUUGACUAUGAGACUUUAACUGCUGGGUGGACAGGGUGAGGCUACAUAGUACACCAAGAGAAUCCAGGUCUCUCCUAAGACCAAGCCUCCUGGACACCAUUCACCAGCAGUGGGAUCUCAGGACUGCUGAACUCUAACCAGGCUUCUCUCUGUAACUCACUGGAGACAGGUGACAGCUAGCUCACGGUCUCUGCGAAUAUUGAAUGAGAUGCGAAAGAAAGCACACUGUCUUUCUGGCAUCCCACCGUCACCACUGUUUUCAUCAGCUGCUAGUCCACCUGAUUCAUUGUGCACGGAAUUGGAAAUGUGGUCUUUAUCUGUUCACAACACUUCCCUCCUGGAAGUUCCCCCUCUAGGCAAAUGGAACCAACAAAGACAUGACAGUCCUAGUCCUUCCUCUCCUGUGGCUCUAUCCACAUUCUCGGUUUCUUUCUUCUUUCACUUCCUUGCAUAAUUCACUGCAGUCAUUCUUCCUCUUACUCACUCUGUCCCCCACAGAGGCUGAUUCUUAGGGCUAGCGGGCGGGGACAACCGAACUGGCAGGAACAUUAUCACUGAGUCAGUUUCAUGUCCUGGGAGGAUGUGCCAUGUAUGGCUCAGCUGGACCAUGACAUCUGAAAAGUCACCCAUCCUUGAGUAGGAAAAAUUUGUGAUGUUUAGCUCAUCCUAAUCAUACACCCUGAUUAUUCAGGGACCUCUCAGGAGUUGGGACGCACAGAACAUUCCAGAAAGGAAAGUCAUCUUGGUAUAUAGUUUUCACAUCAUGCCUUGCAAAUAGCCAGUUCAUUGGUCCUAAAACCAGGAUCUGAGAAUCCCUAGACAUCCCUGUUUGCCCCCUCUGGUUACCAGGAAC